CAGUCGCCGCGGGAAUACGGAGGGUGCAAGCGUUAAUCGGAAUUACUGGGCGUAAAGCGCACGCAGGCGGUCUGACAAGUCAGAUGUGAAAUCCCCGGGCUUAACCUGGGAACUGCAUUUGAAACUGUCAGGCUGGAGUCUUGUAGAGGGGGGUAGAAUUCCAGGUGUAGCGGUGAAAUGCGUAGAGAUCUGGAGGAAUACCGGUGGCGAAGGCGGCCCACUGGACAAAGACUGACGCUCAGGUGCGAAAGCGUGGGGAGCAAACAGGAUUAGAUACCCCUGUAGUCCCUGUCUCUUAUAC
rnacentral:rRNA from 1 species